CCACGGGAGGCAGCAGUGGGGAAUAUUGGACAAUGGGGGCAACCCUGAUCCAGCCAUGCCGCGUGUGUGAAGAAGGCCCUCGGAUUGUAAAGCACUUUCAGUGAGGAAGAACGCCUGGUGGUUAAUACCCAUCAGGAAAGACAUCACUCACAGAAGAAGCACCGGCUAACUCCGUGCCAGCAGCCGCGGUAAUACGGAGGGUGCGAGCGUUAAUCGGAAUUACUGGGCGUAAAGCGCGCGUAGGUGGCUUGAUAAGCCGGUUGUGAAAGCCCCGGGCUCAACCUGGGAACGGCAUCCGGAACUGUCAAGCUAGAGUGCAGGAGAGGAAGGUAGAAUUCCCGGUGUAGCGGUGAAAUGCGUAGAGAUCGGGAGGAAUACCAGUGGCGAAGGCGGCCUUCUGGACUGACACUGACACUGAGGUGCGAAAGCGUGGGUAGCAAACAGGAUUAGAUACCCGAGUAGUC
rnacentral:rRNA from 1 species